UUGGAAGUGAUGACUCUUAAAGCAUUGAUUAUCUUAAUGAUUAAAGCUUGUAUUCGUACUGUCUGAUCCAU
rfam:Biomphalaria glabrata isolate BB02 unplaced genomic scaffold LGTN_random_Scaffold3144, whole genome shotgun sequence.